rnacentral:ncRNA from 11 species
GGCGGCAUGGCCGAGUGGUAAGGCGGAGGACUGCAAAUCCUUGUUCCCCAGUUCAAAUCCGGGUGUCGCCU